rnacentral:rRNA from 1 species
AUUGAACGCUGGCGGCAGGCUUAACACAUGCAAGUCGAGCGGGGGAAGGUAGCUUGCUACCGGACCUAGCGGCGGACGGGUGAGUAAUGCUUAGGAAUCUGCCUAUUAGUGGGGGACAACAUCUCGAAAGGGAUGCUAAUACCGCAUACGUCCUACGGGAGAAAGCAGGGGAUCUUCGGACCUUGCGCUAAUAGAUGAGCCUAAGUCGGAUUAGCUAGUUGGUGGGGUAAAGGCCUACCAAGGCGACGAUCUGUAGCGGGUCUGAGAGGAUGAACCGCCAAACUGGGACGGAGACACGGCCCAGACUCCUACGGGAGGCAGCAGUGGGGAAUAUUGGACAAUGGGGGGAACCCUGAUCCAGCCAUGCCGCGUGUGUGAAGAAGGCCUUAUGGUUGUAAAGCACUUUAAGCGAGGAGGAGGCUACUCUAGUUAAUACCUAGGGAUAGUGGACGUUACUCGCAGAAUAAGCACCGGCUAACUCUGUGCCAGCAGCCGCCGUAA